AUACGUAGGGUGCAAGCGUUAAUCGGAAUUACUGGGCGUAAAGCGUGCGCAGGCGGUUUUGUAAGACAGUGGUGAAAUCCCCGGGCUCAACCUGGGAACUGCCAUUGUGACUGCAAGGCUGGAGUGCGGCAGAGGGGGAUGGAAUUCCGCGUGUAGCAGUGAAAUGCGUAGAUAUGCGGAGGAACACCGAUGGCGAAGGCAUUCCCCGGGGCCUGUACUGACGCUCAUGCACGAAAGCGUGGGGAGCAACCAGGAUUAGAUACCCUGGUAGUCACGCCCUAAACGAUGUCAACUGGUUGUUGGGUCUUCAUUGACUCAGUAACGAAGCUAACGCGUGAAGUUGACCGCCUGGGGAGUACGGCCGCAAGGUUGAAACUCAAAUGAAUUGACGGGG
rnacentral:rRNA from 1 species